ACACCUGAAGUCAUGGGACAGUCAUACCGGUAAACAAGCUUUUCUCAUAGUUCGCUGGUUCCAUAUGUAUUGUACGACUACAAGAGGAAAGGACCAACAUAAAACUCGUGCGUUUUUAUAAUCAAAAUAGCACAACUAACCUUUUGUUUACAUUGGUUCUUGGUUUAGUUACAAUCCAGACUUUACACACGUGGCUAUUUAACGCUAGGAGUACUGCUAGAAGGAUUAGAUUCGAUCGGAGUUUGAACGUUGUGUUUACAUUCGAUGAUCACAGGAUUUUACUAAGCGUACCUACAUGAAAGACUUCAGUAAGGCAUUUCAGUAGUGGUACAGAAACGAAGACAUGCAAUAUCACCAAGUGCCUGUGAAACCAACGGAGUAUCCUCCGGAUUUACGUCCUCAUAACUUCGGUAAAAAACCUCUUUUACCUCUGCCUCCGCCUCAUAUGCGAAAAGGACAGAUACCACAGGAAAGCAUGUUCCCAGUUUACAAUGCUCCUGCACCUUUUGUGACUUACCCCCGUGAAUAUUAUAAAAAAGGAAUCGCGCCUCCACCUGUGGAAACGUAUUUUCCGACUGAGCCUUUACCUAACUACAACGGCAGCACUUAUUCCAAACAUCCUGUUGAAGGUUAUCACGAAUUUGUUCGAGAUGACUGUCCUGAUAAAUCUAAAGUUGACAGUUCCACACAAGUGGAUGACAAUUUUUCCGAGGGAUAUAUUCCAGACUCUGAACAAGGCAGCGGGUACAAGAGUAGGAAGAAUGAUCAUAAACCAGGGAAUGGUUAUCAGCCAUAUUCUAGACAGACGAAACCCAAACGACAGGAGAAUCAGAGUGGUAAACAUCGCUCUAGAGACAGUCAAAAGAAGCAUCAAAAUGGUGUUCACCCAUCUGGCUAUCGAAAAGAUGAAAACUGUAAACAUCAAAUGAAUGGUUCAUCAUCGAACGGACACGACCCGUACAUCGAUGAUCGACACGACGAUAUAUCUAGACCUAAGCAUCGCAGGGAUGAUGUUCCAUCACAUCAACAAGACAAUUACUCCGAUCCUCGAAACGACGAUUAUUCAAGACAACGCAAGAAUGGUCGCGUAUCACAUCGGAGUGAUGACAAAGCUAAACAUCGCCGGGAUGACCAUUCACCACGUCGACAAAACAGUCAUUCCGAUCAUCAAAGCAAUAAUAGAUAUAGAAACAACAGGGACAGCCCUUCGCCAAAUCGACAAUAUAAACACUCUGAAAAUCGAAGCGACGAAAACUUUAAGCAUCAAAGGGACAAUCGUUCUCCUCAUCGAAUUGACAUCUACGCCGAUCAUCGAAGCGACGACAAAUUCUUACAGCGAAAGAAGGAUCACCCAUCACGCCGUUCGGAUACUUACAACGAUCAUCGACGCGACGAUAAACCUAACCACCACAGAAACGACAACUCAACUCAUCGAUCAACUGGCCACUGCGAUCAUCACGGCAACAACUGCUGCAAACAUCAAAGCGACGACUAUACAUCACAUCGACACAACUCUGAUCGUCGAAACAACGAUAGUUCCAAACAUCGAAGGAAAGAUCAAUCAUCAAAUCGACGCGAUAAUUCUUCAGAUCGUCGAAGCGAUGAUAGCUCAAAACGUCGAAACGGCGUUCACACCGAUACUUCACUCGAUGAUAACUACAACGAUCGCACUGAAGAUUUUCGCGACGACUAUGAUUUUUCGACAGGUGAUUUUUACACCUACCCCAACGACAAAGAGAUUGUAUCAGAAGACGAUCAACUUUACAUUACAACAGACAGCAUUGGCUGGCCGCUUGAAAGUGACAGUAUGAGCAGUCGUGGAAGUUCCUCUGCUGGGGACUUGGACUGUAAGGUGUAUGUGGGGCAGAUUGGACGAGGCGCAGUGAAAGAGGAGCUGGAAGACAAAUUUGGUCGUUUUGGACGCAUAAAGAGCGUAUGGAUUGCCCGCAAUCCCCCAGGCUUUGCUUUUGUGGUAUUUUACAACAUCAAAGACGCUGAGCAUGCAGCAGAUGAAAUGGAUGGAGAGAUCAUCAAUCAUAGAAGAGCUCGAGUAGAAAUGUCCAGUGGGAAGUCCAGGUGGGGAAGCUCAGGUCCACCUACCCGAAGGAGGGAUAGCCGAGAUGGACGCGAUAGUCGCAGGCAGAAUAUGUACAAUGGAGGAGGAUUUUCAAGAUCCAGGUCUCGUUCACCACCAAGAUACGACAGAUACAGGAAGUACUCUCGGAGCCGAAGCAGAUCCGCUGAUGUUAAAUCUCUACGCCUCCCUUCUCAGGAUAACAGCCUGGGAUGAGGAGAUAUACUCGUCAGAUCGUCUUUUAAGGAAAACUUCUCCUCUCAGUUACAUACUCUCAACAUGUCGAAAUCGCCUUUUGAAAACAUCUAUCGGGACAGACGGUGAUGCAGUUGUUGUUAGUGUGUUUGAGGACUACAUGUUAACACAGAACUCGACUGUAUAACAACCGACACCCAAAAUUCUACUCUACAUUUCGAUGAAAUGAACAGGCAAAUAUCCGAGAACAUUAACACAUUUUGGAAUGUGAACCCCCUCCAACAACUUUUUUUAAGGAAAAGAACUCUGUAGAUAUAGAAUUUUCAUCCCAUUAUCAUUCAACAGUUUUUAAGUUUGCAAGAAGAAGAAAAAAUCACCUACAUCUGUGCGAGUUUGUUUUGGUUGGUUUAGGACUGAUGCGGCCUACUUGAAUUGCUGUAAUGGAACUUAAGUCUAUUGUGGGUGAGGAAAUCACAGAAUUUCAAUAUGAUGAUAUGAACAUGUUGAAGUAACUGAACACGUUGUAUCUUAAUUGUGGUUUGAGUAUAUAGAAUUACUCAACUUUUGUUUUACUACUUUUAUAUAUAUAUAUAUAUACACAAAAAAAGUAACAAAAUUCAAAAGUACCAUCAAUGAAGAGAUGUUCGAUGUGCAACCUGCAAGAUCUUACCGACUAUAUGCUGACUGUAUCAGUCUGCUAACUGAACCAUCAAGAGUUGUCCGACUGUCUAUGACCUUCAUCUUCAUUACUUGUGACCUUGAUUAUUCAUCAUCCGUGAAAGCAAUUGCAUUUUUGUUAAGACAACAUAUCAUUUUGCAUCAGAUUCAUUGUUUUACAACUGUAACAAAGCCAUGUGUGUCUUAGCAUUUUUGUUCCCUCUAAAUUUAGAUUUCAAAGAAAAGCCACGUUAAGUGUAUUCAUAUCGAUAACAUGUGAAUAUACCAAAAAAGAUUCUUUAUGAGUGAUCUUUAUAUGACUAUCCUUAAGUCAUGUUAUGGUACUCCAGUAAAAUCUUAAUAAUUGAAAAUACUUAUAUAUAUGUAUAAACACAGGGAUUUGGCAAAAAUCCCAACCCACUGUCCAUAUAAUUGAAUAAUAUACAUGUACUAUGUAUAUAUUGACUUUGGGGUGGUUAUUUGUGUCAAAUCUCUGUGAACAUAUCCUAUAUUAAUACCAUCAUACACAGGGGUACAGCAAUGAAUGAUAACCCCACCAUCCACAUAUAUGUAUAAAUGUAUCCAUACAUAUAUAUGAACUUUGGUGGUUGAACUGUGCGCCAAGUCCCUGUGAUAUUUUUCUCUUGCCAUAGUUAUAUUCAAAUUGUAUGGUCUACUUUUGCUCCUAUGAACUUACAGAUCAUGUGAUAAAUAAUCAAAACUGGUCCAUUGUUUUUGUAUUAAUUGUAAAUUUGAAGGUCAUGAUACCAAAUCAAGAUAAAAAUUUCAAGUUGUGCUUUUUUUUUUUUUUAAUUUAUGAUAUUGCAUUUGGUCUAAGAAAUGAAAAUGUGACUGUUACGAUUUGAAUGGUGCAUUGCUUGCAGGCUUAGCUAACAUGGAGCAUUUAGGACACUGGCUUUAGACUCCCAAGAGUUGGGAUCAAUAGAACUUGGCUUGAUAUAUUUUGACAGGACAGAUUUCUUUGUUUCAUAAAAUAUUGAAACAUAUCUUCAUUCACUCCGUUCAGGAUUUUGUGAAUUUUUUAUUAACUCUUAAUUUUGGAAUACAUGUAUUUUUUUUUUCUACAACAGAUUUCCAAUUUUGCAUUCAAUGGUAAUAUUGAAUCUUAAUUUAUAUAGUUAUGAAUUUAAACAUUUUGAAAAUACAGAGAUAAAGAGCAUUUUACAUACAGGAUACAAGGGAGACUUCUGUUUGAUGUUUUGUGGAAUAUGGGACCAACCACUUCCCAAACUGGAUGAAGUAAUCAAUGCCAGUGUUGAAUUGUAAAUGUAUUAGAGCUGUUUUGCAUAUUGUUACUCAUAGGGCAUAUAUUUGUACAUAGAGAGUAUUUGUACAUUGAUAGAAGUUUUAGAUUGGAAUGCAACAACUGGUAUUAUUAUUCACGUGUAGAUUUAUGCAUUUAUGUUGAUAUUGUUCAAUUUGAUUACCUCCCUUUAUAGGAAAAUUUACAACAAUGAAUAUUCUUUUAAAAAACAAAGUUUGUUCUAGAAAUUACAUAAAAGACCAGAACAUCCAGUCUGUAUGUAGCUACCAACACUUCUUUACACAUACAGGUAGAAAAUGUAAAUCUGUUUUGAAAGUGUAUAAAAUCACGAGAAGAUCCCAAAUUAAGAUUAUUUGACUGAUAAAUCUCGAAUUUUUAUUUUAUUUUCAUCGCAUGUGUACAAUAUAUAAAUCUAGAUAUAAUUACCAUCUUCAGAUUUUGUCACCAUGAGAACAAAUCUCUCCAAUGAUAUUGAAUUUUGCAUAUGCUCCUGCCCCGGGUACUUUUAAGAAUCAAAUCGAACAAUUGCAAAAUAAGGGUAUUUUAUCAAUUUACUCAGGUUAUUAAAAUGAAGAAGAAAAAAAUCUUUCUUGCUUUCAAUUGCACAUUUAGAAACCAAUAUUUGGUUCCCUAUGUGUAGGCAAAUGUAUCCAGUGUGAAAAUAAUUUAAUACUUUGCAUCAGGUGAAUUUAGUUGGACCCAAAGAAAUGGUAUGUUCAUGUCAGGUAUAGGUAAGGAAAACUGAUAGAUGGGAAUCGAGCACAGAUAUAUACAUGUAUAAGAUUAUAUUUCCACAUAAGGGUCAAACAGAGCAUAACUUUUUGCUGGUUUAGGCCAUAUUUUGUUUUGUACUAGCUUUUCACCAUUAGCUAUUGUGAUUUACAAGAGGUUAGAAAACAUGUAGUAUACCACAUAUAUGUGUGCAUUGUUUACAAAAGAUAUAAAGUAUAUCUACCCAAACUUAAGUGAACGUGCACAAAUUUUAGUGCUUAGGACUAGCUUUUAUACAGGAUAUGUGGUGGUCUGUUUUUAAUUUGUGAAUAUCAUGAAAUAAUUACCAAUGUUUUGAUUUUUGUAAGUAACUCAGUGUUCACAGAAAAGAUUUUAUGAUGACAAGCUACCGCUUGGGUAACUUAUCAGAUGUAGUUCUCAAAUAAUCCAUUUUAGAUUUGGACUUGCAUCAGUUGAUAAAUAGACUUUGUAUGACUUUUAAAUCUUGUAUGAUACCAUCUCAUUCCAUUAUGUCAUUAAAAAUAAAGUUUGAAAUGUU